UGUUCUGUGGCUUAAUUUAUUAAAGCGCCGGUCUUGAGAAUACGGAGUCGUGGGUUCGAAUCCCACCAGAACGC
rnacentral:tRNA from 1 species